AGCGAACGCUGGCGGCAGGCCUAACACAUGCAAGUCGAACGAAGUCUUCGGACUUAGUGGCGGACGGGUGAGUAACACGUGGGAACGUACCUUUUGGUUCGGAACAACUCAGGGAAACUUGAGCUAAUACCGGAUGAGCCCUUAGGGGGAAAGAUUUAUCGCCGAAAGAGCGGCCCGCGUUAGAUUAGCUAGUUGGUGAGGUAAAGGCUCACCAAGGCUACGAUCUAUAGCUGGUCUGAGAGGAUGAUCAGCCACACUGGGACUGAGACACGGCCCAGAAUCCUACGGGAGGCAGCAGUGGGGAAUCUUGCGCAAUGGGCGAAAGCCUGACGCAGCCAUGCCGCGUGAAUGAUGAAGGUCUUAGGAUUGUAAAAUUCUUUUACCAGGGACGAUAAUGACGGUACCUGGAGAAAAAGCCCCGGCUAACUUUGUGCCAGCAGCCGCCGCCGUAA
rnacentral:rRNA from 1 species